rnacentral:rRNA from 1 species
GAUGAACGCUGGCGGCGUGCCUAAUACAUGCAAGUCGAACGAAGCCUUCGGGCUUAGUGGCGGACGGGUGAGUAACACGUUGGUACCUACCCCUAAGUGGGGAAUAACUGCCCGAAAGGGUGGCUAAUACCGCAUAAUCCCGCAAGGGUAAAGCAGUAAUGCGCUUAGGGAGGGGCCUGCGUCCCAUUAGCUUGUUGGUAGUGUAAUGGACUACCAAGGCGACGAUGGGUAGCUGGAUCGAGAGGUGACCAGCCACACUGGGACUGAGAUACGGCCCAGACUCCUACGGGAGGCAGCAGUGGGGAAUCUUGCCGCAAUGGGCGAAAGCCUGACGCAGCGAUGCCGCGUGAGGGAAGAAGGCCU